rnacentral:rRNA from 1 species
UACGUAGGCAGCAAGCGUUAUCCGGAAUUACUGGGCGUAAAGCGCGUGUAGGCGGAUGAGCAAGUCUGCUGUGAAAGCUCCUGGCUUAACCGGGAGUGGUCGGUGGAAACUGCUCGUCUGGAGGACGGUAGAGGUAGGUAGAAUUCCCGGUGUAGUGGUGAAAUGCGUAGAGAUCGGGAGGAAUACCUGUGGCGAAGGCGGCCUACUGGGCCGGACCUGACGCUGAGACGCGAAGGCGUGGGGAGCGAACGGG